UAGGGAAUAUUAGAAAUGGCCGAAAGUCUGAUCUAGCAACACCGCGUGUGCGAAGAAGGCCUUCGGGUUGUAAAGCACUUUUUGGAAGGAUUAGGAAGGAAUGUACUUCCAGAAUAAGUCUCGGCUAACUACGUGCCAGCAGCCGCGGUAACACGUAGGAGGCAAACGUUAUCCGGAUUUACUGGGCGUAAAGCGCGUGUAGGGGGUUCUGUAAGUAGGGCGGGAAAGCUCCUGGCUCAACUGGGAGAGGCCGUUCUAAACUGCAGAGCUAGAGGAUGGGAGAGGGAGGUGGAAUUCCGGGUGUAGCGGUGGAAUGCGCAGAUAUCCGGAGGAACACCAGUGGCGAAAGCGGCCUCCUGGACCAUUCCUGACACUCAGACGCGAAAGCUAGGGUAGCAAACG
rnacentral:rRNA from 1 species